UGCAGUUCAUUUAAAUAAAAUCUGCAUAGCUCAUUUAAAUAAAAAAAAAUACAAGGGCCAACCAUUUUUUUUUAAAAUGCAGCCCAACAAAAGAAAUAAAUAACCCCAACCCAAUAACUAAAUAAAAAUCGGCCCAGUUGAUUAAAUGAAAAUGGCCCAAUCAGAAUAAAUAAAAAAAAUCUCGGCCCAAAACUAAUUAAAACCCAGCCCAACACUAAUUAAAACCCGGCCCAACACUCAAGCCCACUCCAAAGCCCAACCCUACAU
rnacentral:lncRNA from 1 species